UACAGAGGCCCCAAGCGUUAUGCGGAAUCACUGGGCUUAAAGCGUGUGUAGGCGGACGCCUAAGUGUCUUGUGAAAUCCCACGGCUCACCCGUGGAACUGCUGGGCAUACUGGGCGUCUUGGGCCAACUAGGGGCAGCCGGAACACGCGGUGGAGCGGUGAAAUGCGUAGAUAUCGCGUGGAACGCCGAAGGUGAAGACAGGCUGCUGGGGUUGCGCCGACGCUGAGACACGAAAGCCAGGGGAGCAAACGGG
rnacentral:rRNA from 1 species